GGACAUCUGGGCUGUCACAGACCUGGAGCUACCAGUAUUUACAGGAAGGUUUUCCAUCUCAGCCUCUGUCCUAGGGAGUAUCUGACCCAAAGUACAAGACCUUGACUUCACCUGGGCAGGAUCUCCAGGAAGUUUAUAGAGCAUGACUCUGGCUGCCUGGCAAGGAAGGCAUCUGUAGGGGAAACCAGGACAAAGGGAAACAGGUCAGGAAGUGGAGGAGGCAAUAAGUUUAAGCUGCUGAAGAAGAGUUCAAGGGAGGAAAAUGAUUCCAGCCUCUGCUUAGAUCUCUGCUGGAUCCGACCUUGAAGGACAGUUCCACUCACAAGAGCAGAAUCGCUCUUUUCCCUGCAGAGGGCAAUCCCCAAGAGGCUUAGCAGUCCAUGUGUCUGAGCAAAGACAGCAAGUAAAGACAGUCCCAGAGGUGGCUGUCGCAGCCCAAACCCCAGCUACCUCAGCCUGAGGCCAAAGUAAAGAGAAAGUAAUGGCUGAACUUAGUAGAACUAAGCAUUAUAAAACCCAUAUUAUUUAAUUCAGCUUCAAACAUAACCCAAAGCUAAAAAUCAGAGGGCAUACAUUUUUAAAUAGCUGAAUCCUAAAGAGAUUAAAAUUCUUUGAGCAAAAUUUUGAGAAUGCAUGUCUUUGCUUCUUGUUACAUAAUUAAGGGUAAAAAAAAUAGAAAAUAUUUGCAAGUCGUAGACCUACAUGAGACUUCUGCUUUUCAAAACCUGUAGUAAUAGGGACUAGAUUUUUCCUCCUACCUGAAUCAACUGAAAAACUACACAAGAUAUGUGGAAAAAAAAGGUGGUUUUCAAGACAGUGGAGAUCAGACAGUUACAGACAGAAAUCCUUGAGAAAUAGGAGCAAGUGAUAUGAACCUAGCUUACUGCUUUGAGAGAGUUUACAGGUCUUGGCAUGGGAAGGAGGAACCCAGGCUGAGCCUGGCAGACACUUGAAGCUGAGGAAACCGAGCUAGAAGUCCAAAAAGAAUGAGCCAGCUAGAAUUCAAAGGGCAGAUAGAGGAGAGGAAGAAGCUGCACACAGGGAGAACUCUAGAGGGUCUCUCUUGAGUAUUCCAUGGAGUACUGAUGAGCUCAAGCAUGUGAGAAACCACCAAAAGCCGGGAAGAGAACCAUCAGAAAGGGUCAGAGGAAACACUGCCCAGUACUCAUUCAGAACCUGGAAUAGGGAAUGUGCUGGCCAGCCAGAUGCAAAACCUCCUAUUUCACAGGACACUGAGGGGUAGAAUACUUAGAAGUGUCUUGCUUCAGGAAUAAGAAAUAAUUAGCCUUAGAAUGACCACUGUUCUGGUCCCACCUAAUGAGCCUUAAAAAAAAGACCUGAAAGAAUCAAACUGUUUCCAAGUAACUUAAUUGUGUCCAAGACAUAAGCAAAAGAAUAUUUAUGGGAAUAUAGUAUUAUCUAUAGCCUACAUGGUAAAAUACAAAUGUCUGGCAUACAUUAAAAAAUUUCUGGUGUGCAAAGAAGCAGGAACAUAUGAUCCAAUAUGAGGAGAAAAAUCAAUCAAUUUAAACCACCCUACAACUAAUACAGAUGUUAGAAUUCUCAAUUGAGAAAGAGCAUUAAAACACUUAUUAAGACUAUAUUCCAUAUGCCCAAGAAGCUAGAGGAAAGAUGAACUAUGUUAAGUGAAGAUAUGCAAGAUAUUAACUUGAACUUCUAGAGAUGAAAACAACAAUAUCUCCAGUAAAAUUUAUGUUGGCUUUAUAUAGCAGAUUAGACACUGAAGAAGAAAAGAUUAGUGACAUGAAGACAUUGUCAUAAGAAGCUAUCUCAAAUGAAACACAGAGAGUUUUAAAAAAGAAAAUAAUUUUAAAAAUGAAAAUACAAUCAGCAAGCAAUGAGACAACUCCAAGUAGUCUCAGGUAUAGGUAACUGAAAAACCCCAAAGAGGUGAGAGAACCUUCAAAGAAAUGUUUCAAAGAAAAGUUUGUUUCACAAAGUCUGACAAACUCCAAGCACAAGGAACAUGAAGGAAACGACACCAAGGCACAUGAAAAUCAAAAAUUACUAGCCACGCAUGGUGGCCCACACCUGUAAUCUUAGCACUUUGGAAUUACCUGAGGCAGUUGGAUUACCUGAGGUCAGGAGUUCAAGAUCGGUCUAGUCAACAUGGUGAAAUCAUGUCUGUACUAAAAAUACAAAAAUUAGCUGAACGUAGUAUGGCAAGAAAAUCACUUGAACCUAGGAGGCAGUGGUUGCAGUGAGCUGAGAUCACAUCACUGCACUCCAGCCUGGGUGCCAGAAGAAGACUCCAUCUCAAAAGAAAAGAAAAACAAAAAGAAAGAAAGAAAGAAAUUACCAAACACUAAUGACUUAAAAAAAAAAAAAAAAACCUUAAGAUCAUCCAAAGAAAAAAGAACAUUACAUAUAGAGUUAACAAAGAUAAGAAUGGCAGAUUUCUCCUUGGAAAUAGUCCAGGUAAGAAGACAGGUUACUCAAGAAAAAUCAUGUGGGUAAGCAUUGAAUAUUUUAUUUAUUUAUUAUCUGAAUCUUUAAAAAAGACAAUUGACUAAACAAAAAAGUUAACAAUGUUGUGUGGGAUUUAUAACAACGACCUGGAAGAGUACAAACAUAAACACCUGUUACUAUAAAACUGAGUAGUUUGUAGACAAAGAGCUGCCUGAGAGAUUUUCCUUUAACUAUGAUGAGUGACUUUUAUGGAGCCUUUAACCUGAGUAACAGAACAGCUGUUUACUGUUGUCAGAGGAAAUAGCAUAUACUCACUGUAUAUUUAUUAUAAGAAAUUUACUAGUGUGAUAUUUAAGACUUCACUGCUUUUCUUAUAGUAGUUCAUUCAAUAUUAAAACUUUUCAGUUUCCUUUAGGCUUAGC